UUAUCUUUCUGUGGGCCUUUUGAAGCUUCCAAAAUUUAAUAAUUUUAACUAUUGGCCUUACUACCUUUUAAAACAACAAGAAAGGGUUAAGUACUAUGAACAUUCUGUCAACAUUGUAAGCAACUAAAUUAUGUUACUUCAUGUAAGAGGUGUUUUUUAAUAUGUGACUUUUUCCCUCUUAAAUUAGAGAUGUGAAAGCUGGGAAUAUCCUCCUUGGAGAAGAUGGAUCAGUUCAGAUUGCAGACUUCGGAGUUAGUGCUUUUUUGGCAACUGGUGGUGAUAUGACGCGAAACAAAGUGAGAAAGACCUUUGUUGGCACUCCUUGCUGGAUGGCCCCUGAGGUGAUGGAGCAGGUCUGAGGUUAUGAUUUCAAAGCUGAUAUCUGGAGUUUUGGAAUCACAGCCAUUGAACUGGCCACGGGGGCAGCUCCUUAUCAUAAGUACCCACCAAUGAAGGUGAGGCGUGCGUUCACAGUACCUGCCCAUCUCAACUCACCU